UAUGAGAAUAGUUUGGCGGGGACCAUGAUUGCCGCUGCACUGUCACGUGACAGCGUUUCGAGGCGGACAUAUAUACCGGUGGCACCGCCUCCUUCUUCCCUUUUGCUGAGCCGGUGCGUGCGGUACAGUGGCCUGGCGGCUGGCCAUGAUACAUCAAGCAAGUUCUUCCCUCGCUGGUAAUUACAAAACUGCAGACCGAGACCUGAUGUCACUUGCUAAGAUUUUAAUGGAGGAAGUUGGAAGCCCCAUAGAAGGAAGAUUCUCUGGCCUGAAACAUGAAUCCUGAUGAUGAAAGGUGUAGACCCAGCCUAAAUGUCUAACAUGCUGGUACCCUGCUGACCGUAUUGUUUUUGUGGUCAUCCCCCUCACACCCCAGGCUGCGUAAAAUAGAUUGGCUUCGGAUGACCACCUGCCUGAUGUAUGGAGAUAAAAAUUCCAACUUGAACACAGUUCCAUAAUGUUUGCAGGGAGAGUAAAGCACAGGACACUUCAUACAAAGGCUUCCAGAGGUGCUUGGGUAUCCUGCAUCUGGCUUGGAUUUUCCUGUUUCAUGGUUGAUGGUCUCUGGGUUGUCCUGACACUCUGCUUCAUUCCAGGACUGGGGUGACUUGGACGUACAGAGUGCCGUUAUUAGCAGUGGUCCUGGCCCGGUCUUGAAUAAAUUUGGCAUUAAUAUUAGAAGAUGAUGGAUGAUCAAGACAGCAUUUCAAGUGAGAGGGCUGGAGUGCACUCCUGGAAAAAGGAUCACUUUGCUGAGAGUAAAGUUGGUCAAACAGUCAGUGAAGCAGUCAGCCCUCUGCCUGCCUGAGAGGGAGCAAAAUUGGUUUGAAUGGACAGUUGAGGAACCAGAAAGUGUGAAGAUGUCAGAUUGUGUAUCCAACGACUCCUAAGUUGGCUUGUGUGUUGUGUGGUUUUUUUUUUUUUUUCUGCACAGAAGACAGUGCCCUUGCUUCUGAGGUGUUUGGGCAUAGUCAUGGAGGGGCCAGAGUCAAUCCUGCAGCAGUGGGUGUGUCAAGCUGGAGGGAAGCAGUCUCUCUGCCACCCCAUUCAGUUUGGCCUGGAGUCCUUGCUCCGCAGUCCUGCCUGCACUCAGAGCCCACCAAGGCCUUUUAAGGGGCUUGCAAGGGUGUUGAAAGGACAGAUGGGGCAGCAGUGCUUGCUGUGUUCUACCCUUGCCACAAAAGGUGACAUGACUUCUGGAUGAAGAGUCCUACAAAUUUGUCAGAAAAGAUUAAGUUCAGAAUGUCUUGUAGAAGCAUGUGACAAGUGGGGCAACACUGAUACACACUUUGGUCUCUUCUUAAAUAUCCAAUUAAGAAACUAGACUUGCUCUAAACUUAAACUUUUGCCAUGUGUCUUUUAACCAGCACUAAGUAGGCUUUAGAAGUAAAAUAGCUGUCUAACACAUUGAAAUGUGCUAAAAUAAACUCAUCAAAAAUAACUA